UACAGAGGGUGCGAGCGUUAAUCGGAAUUACUGGGCGUAAAGCGCACGUAGGCGGCUUGGUAUGUCGGGUGUGAAAUCCCCGGGCUCAACCUGGGAACUGCAUCCGAAACUGCCUUGCUAGAGUAUGGGAGAGGGAAGUGGAAUUUCCGGUGUAGCGGUGAAAUGCGUAGAUAUCAGGAAGAACACCCGUGGCUAAGGCGGCUCUCUAGUACGGUACUGACGCUGAGACGCGAAAGCGUGGGGAGCGAACAGG
rnacentral:rRNA from 1 species